UACGUAGGUGGCAAGCGUUGUCCGGAUUUACUGGGCGUAAAGAGCGCGCAGGCGGUCGAUCAAGUCGCGUGUGAAAGCCCCCCGGCUCAACUGGGGAGGGUCACGCGAUACUGAUCGACUCGAAGGCAGGAGAGGGUAGUGGAAUUCCCGGUGUAGUGGUGAAAUGCGUAGAUAUCGGGAGGAACACCAGUGGCGAAGGCGACUACCUGGCCUGUUCUUGACGCUGAGGCGCGAAAGCUAGGGGAGCAAACGGGG
rnacentral:rRNA from 1 species